GGGGUUGUGUGCAGGUGUGUGGAUGGGUAGGGGAGCGUCGUGCCGGGGGUGAAGCAGCCGAGUGAUCGAGUUGUGGACGCGGUGCGAGUGAGAAUGCAGGCAUGAGUAGCGAAAGAAGGGUGAGAAACCCUUCCGCCGGAUGACCAAGGGUUCCAGGGCCAGGUUAAUCCGCCCUGGGUGAGUCGGGGCCUAAGGCGAGGCCGAGAGGCGUAGUCGAUGGAUAACGGGUUGAUAUUCCCGUACCCGCGAAGGAGCGUCCCUGAUGAACCUCGUUGUGCUAACCAUCCGAGCUUGGUGUGGUCUUCGGACUGUGCUGGGGGAGCGUGGGAACCUGGCGGGUAGUAGUCAAGCGAUGGGGUGACGCAGGAAGGUAGCUGAGCCCGGCCGGUGGUUGUGCCGGGGUAAGCGUGUAGGCCGUGUCGUAGGUAAAUCCGCGGCGCGUGUGGCUGAGACGUGAUGCCGAGCCGAUUCAGGUGAAGUCAGUGAUCCUAUGCUGUCGAGAAAAGCCUCUAGCGAGUUCCGAGCGGCCCGUACCCCAAACCGACACAGGUGGUCAGGUAGAGAAUACCGAGGCGAUCGGGUGAACUGUGGUUAAGGAACUCGGCAAAUUGCCCCCGUAACUUUGGGAGAAGGGGGGCCGGAGACGUGAAGGCACGUGCUGCUGGAGCGUUGUAUGGCCGCAGAGAGCAGGGGGAAGCGACUGUUUACUAAAAACACAGGUCCAUGCGAAGAAGUAAUUCGAUGUAUAUGGACUGACGCCUGCCCGGUGCUGGAACGUUAAGGGGACCUGUUAGUCUUUCGGGGCGAAGCGGAGAACUUAAGCGCCAGUAAACGGCGGUGGUAACUAUAACCAUCCUAAGGUAGCGAAAUUCCUUGUCGGGUAAGUUCCGACCUGCACGAAUGGCGUAACGACUUCCCCACUGUCUCAACCACAGGCCCGGCGAAAUUGCAUUACGAGUAAAGAUGCUCGUUACGCGCGGCAGGACGGAAAGACCCCGGGACCUUUACUAUAGCUUGACAUUGGUAUCCGAAUUUGCUUGUGUAGGAUAGGUGGGAGCCGGUGAAGUGUGCACGCCAGUGCAUGUGGAGGCAAUCUUGAAAUACCACUCUGGUUGGUUUGGGUAUCUAACUUCGGACCGUUAUCCGGUUCAGGGACAGUGUCUGGUGGGUAGUUUAACUGGGGCGGUUGCCUCCUAAAGGGUAACGGAGGCGCCCAAAGGUUCCCUCAGCCUGGUUGGCAAUCAGGUGUUGAGUGUAAGUGCACAAGGGAGCUUGACUGUGAGACUGACGGGUCGAGCAGGGACGAAAGUCGGGACUAGUGAUCCGGCACUGGCGUAUGGAAGCGGUGUCGCUCAACGGAUAAAAGGUACCCCGGGGAUAACAGGCUGAUCUUCCCCAAGAGUCCAUAUCGACGGGAUGGUUUGGCACCUCGAUGUCGGCUCGUCGCAUCCUGGGGCUGUAGCAGGUCCCAAGGGUUGGGCUGUUCGCCCAUUAAAGCGGUACGCGAGCUGGGUUUAGAACGUCGUGAGACAGUUCGGUCCCUAUCCGCCGUGCGCGUAGGAUACUUGAGAAGGGCUGUCCCUAGUACGAGAGGACCGGGACGGACGAACCUCUGGUGUGCCAGUUGUCCCGCCAGGGGCACGGCUGGUUAGCUACGUUCGGAAGGGAUAACCGCUGAAAGCAUCUAAGCGGGAAGCUCGCUUCAAGAUGAGGUAUCCCACCCACCCUUGUGGUGGGGUAAGGCCCCCAGCUAGACGACUGGGUUGAUAGGCCGGAAAUGUAAGCCCGGUAACGGGUUCAGUUGACCGGUACUAAUAGGCCGAGGACUUGACUA
rnacentral:rRNA from 1 species